GGGAUAAAAAGUGUCAUCACAGCGCAUCAACUGAAUCUGUUUUUGUGUUGUGCAUAGGACCUCUCAUAAACAGCAAUGACGGUUAUUCCAAACCAGAUGCACCAAUUUGAAACCUCACAAUCCAGGAUUCUGCAAAAAUCAGCUGAGCAAGCAUUUAAAACAAAACUGAUGGACGAUGUGAUAAGAUUCCUGACUGAAUGAUUUUUGACAGGCCCCAUGGGUGUACUUCACCCUAAAGACAACAAGGCCAGGGAGCCAUCCAAGUGACUGGAGCUAAAUAAGACCCCCGUGACCUGAGGAGUCACACGGCUGAAAGCAAAAGUAACAGUGUGGAUGACUUGUUGCUAAGAAAAAUGAGCUGCCGAUUGAGACAAAUGAUUUUCCCAAAUCUAGAAGUGCUGUGAACAGUUUUAAAAAUAAAAUGCAAUGGAAAAAUGCCUACAGAAUUGCCUGAAAUGUACAGUAUAUUAUUUGCAUCAUUUCAAAAUGUUGGUUAGGUAGUUUAGUGUGAAUUAUACAGUUCAUUAAUUAAGGUUAAAAAAAGACAGAACAAAUAACUAUCAUGAAUUAUUUUUUGUUCAAACACAACAUGGGUAUUAUUAUUUGCACAAUUCUUUUACAUUUAGCAAAUUCUUUCA